AUGCAAGUCGAGCGAGAAAGUACCCUUCGGGGUGCGAGUACAGCGGCGAACGGGUGAGUAACACGUAAGCAAUCUGCCCCCAAAUCUGGGAUAACUCUGCCAACGCGGGGCUAAUACCGGAUGUGGUCACGACAUCGCAUGGUGUUGUGAUUAAAGAUGGCUUCGGCUAUCGUUUGGGGAUGAGCUUGCGGCCCAUUAGCUUGUUGGUGGGGUAAUGGCCCACCAAGGCGACGAUGGGUAGCCGACCUGAGAGGGUGAUCGGCCACAUUGGGACUGAGAUACGGCCCAGACUCCUACGGGAGGCAGCAGUGGGGAAUUUUGGCGCCAUUGGGCCGAAAGUCUGACCCAGCGACGCCGCGUGAGGGAUGACGGCUUACGGGUUGUAAACCUCUGUUGAGUGGGACGAAAACUCGUAGGGUUAAUACCCCUGCGACCUGACGGUACCACUCGAGGAAGCUCCGGCUAACUACGUGCCAGCAGCCGCGGUAAUACGUAGGGAGCAAGCGUUGUUCGGAAUCACUGGGCGUAAAGGGAGUGUAGGCGGAAAAGUAAGUUAGGAGUGAAAUACACAGGCUUAACCUGUGGCCCGCUCUUAAUACUGCUUUACUUGAGUAUGGGAGAGGAAGAUGGAAUUCCAGGUGUAGCGGUGGAAUGCGUAGAUAUCUGGAAGAACACCAGUAGCGAAAGCGGUCUUCUGGCCCAAACUGACGCUGAGGCUCGAAAGCUAGGGGAGCAAACAGGAUUAGAUACCCUGGUAGUCCUAGCCGUAAACGAUGGACACUAGUUGUCGGGGGAGUCAAUCCCUUCGGUGACGAAGCUAACGCAUUAAGUGUCCCGCCUGGGGAGUACGCUCGCAAGGGUGAAACUCAAAGGAAUUGACGGGGCCCGCACAACGUGGAGCAUGUGCUUAAUUCGAUGCACGCGAAGACUUACUGGGUUUGACAUGGGGGUGAAGUAACCAGAGAUGGA
rnacentral:rRNA from 1 species